CAGACGUUUCCAGCCACUCUGUUUCGCUGUUUUUCUCAAAGGCUUUGCAUUUGAAGAGGUACAAACAGCAGCUAGGGUGGAACAUUUUCACCUGACACAUACCUGACAGCAACUUUUCUCACUGGCAGAGCUGUUGGCGGACACGCCUGUGCAUCAAAGCUCCCGAUCGGCAAAGGCCGGAGAGAGAAGGGCGCCGGAGAAGCAUGCGGGACUGCGGUCCACUAAACCCGGCGAGAAACGGAAAGAACUUUAGAAAUGGCCCUCCAGGAAUCUGCUGACGCGUGAGUCAUUAAGUGCAUGUAGCUGACAAAAUGAUUAAUCUUUAUGAGAAAAUUAAAUAUUACUCAGUGAUGGUCCCUCCUAAAGCCUAGUUUGUGUGCUAUGUAUACCUUCUGAUGAUGCUGCCUAAGAGAAGCAUGUAUAAUGUAAACAGAAUUGAUUCUAGCACUGAACCCUGUGGAACUCCAUAAUUAACCUUACUGUGUGAAGAGGACUCUCCAUUUACAUGAACAAAUUGGAGUUUAUUAGAUAUGAUACAAACCACUGCAGUACAAACCACCUACAGCGUGCUCUAAUAGGAUAUUAUGGUUGACAAUAAUGCAUGUUGCACUGAAGUCUAGCAGGACAAGCACAGAAAUGAGUCCACUGUCAGAGGCGAUAAGAAGAUCAUUUGUAACUUUAAAUAAAGCUGUUUCUGUGCUGUGAUGGGCUCUGAAACCUGACUGAAAGUUGAAGAGUCUCUGCUACAAAUCUAGUAGGCAGAAAGCCGACUGACCUGGAGCAGCAUCUAGCUGUGUUUGAGGUCAAGCAGGAUAAUUUCACGAUGUCAUCGUACAUUCAGUACCAGUGCCUAAGUUGAAUUAUGAACGCACUUCCUACCAAAUGCAGCGAUGUGAUUGAUGCGAUCCAUUUACAAAAAAAAACAAAAAAACACCUCUCUCAUAUAUAGGUUAUGACUUGAUUAAAAAAUG
ensembl:lncRNA